GGAAACAUGGGCACUUCCCUUCCUCUUGUAGCCUAGUUAGUGUCUUAGAGUUGCUUUGUGCAACAGAAACACGGUGAAGAGAAGGUAUUUCAUAGUGCUGGGAAUUCAGGGAUGACUCCUGAGUUUUGUCUUACCUGGAGUAGCGAACCCUAACUCCUGUUAUUCAAGCAGGAGUUGGAACAUGGGCUGUGCUGCUAGAAAGUGGGCUGCUCAGCCCUGUGUUUUACAGCGUGUUGCUCAUUUCUGCGAGAUUUUGCCAGUAACAAAUUUAUCAAAUCCAGAUGCCUCAGCUGCUGAAGACCUUGGCUUUCUCCGUAUAAAAGCCUUACACUGGCCUUAAUGCUAAUCCUAUAGAAAUCAAGAGGAUUUGGGACACUUCACUAAAUACGUUUUGCUACAGGCUGUUACUUCUGGCUGGUGGGGGCUGCCUGUGGCUUGUACUCUAAUUAGCGUGCUUCGCAUUCCUUUUUAACUCCCUCUCGCCCACACAGGCAUUUAUGGUAAAAGGCUAAACAGUGACUUGAAGAGGCAAAGUUUCUCUUGUCCAAGGUGCAUGUGGAUGUUGUGCUGCUGUGCGUCCUACACGUGGUGGGGUGCGUUGUGUGUGCAAGCAGAGAGAAGCCAAGAGAUGGAUCCUCCAUUUACAUCUGUAGGAAAUGUAAAUUCCUUUAGGGAGCAAUGGGAAGGAGAGGUCUUUUUGUAACUGAAAAGCUGUUCAGAUAAGCCAUCUUCCAAUUCUGCACUUAAACAAAAAGCUAUGCCAAUCGCUGAGCAGAACUAAUCUCUCUUUAAGGUAAGGCAUUUCAUGGGGCUGGUCCCUCACUCAGAGAAAGGCCCCGCAGCCAAGGGAAGGCUUCUGUUGUGCUGAGAACAUUUCCACAUCAAAGUACGGAUCCCCAUUCUCAGGAUACUUGAGUGCUAGGAGUCACCUCAGUCUUUGCAGUAACUCAGUCGGGUUAUAGCAGGGACACCUCCAAACUCAUUUAAUGCUUCAUUAGAUGGCAACACAAGUGAAAUUUGGAAGUCUCCUACCUUCACCUCUCUGCUCAUGAGCCUGGUUUGUGGGGAGCUGUGGGCAGUGGAGCCCAGAGGACAGUUUGACUCACCUGCGGCUCUGGGAGGCUCCUGCUGGGCAGGAAUGCCUGAGCUCGCUCAGAAAUGACAUAGCUUGCACUGAAACACAGGGUAAGGUGAGACACUGCAAAGACUCGAGCUGUUUAAAAUGUUUUAAACCAUUUCCUCCAAAGGGCUCAUUGACCCAUCAAGGGGUUAAAUCAAGUAAUUUUGUGCUUUCACAGGUUUUGAAAUAGGAAACAGGUAGGUGAGAAGCCUGCUUAUGCCCAUAGGGAAGGGACUGCAUUGUGUACUCCUGAUAGGGUGUCUGGGGCAAGAAUGGGAGUGGAAAAACCCUGCUGAAUCAGUGCACUGAGACCUGUGUUUGCAGAGACCAGCCACAAACCGAAGAUCCAGGGUUAUACCAUGUACUCAGUGACUGAUGGUUUUUAUGCUCUGUUUUGGGGUGGGUUUUUUUCGAUUACCUUUUUGUUAUUUCAGUGUGUUUGAGUAUGGGGGUUAUGGAGGCAGAUAAAAUGCAUUCAAACAUUCCGUUUCGGGCAGUAGUGGGAUUCUGCUUGGGUAAAUUACAUUCUGCUUUAGUAAAUUACAUUCUGCUUUAGUAGAGCAUUAAGUAUUUUGUAACAGGUCUAUGUUUUAUGGUAGUCUGCAUUUACUCAUUCUGUGUCUGAUCGAGAGGGAAUUCCACAUUUGACAGACUGCAAGUAGAGACCACAAAACCAAAAUAUUACCUCAGAUGCUUUAUCAGCUACGUGCGCAGCUACUUGGAUUGAGAAGCUCCGGAAGCACAUGAGAGUUUUCACAGUGGGCCUUGAUCAUCUCAGCUGUGAUGCGUCCAUUGGAUUUACCAGUAAUAUCACCUUCUCUGUGGCUCCUGCAUGACAUUUCUCCUGGUUCUUCAUGAAUGGGCAUGGCUCUUCCAAUCACACACAACAGCUGUGUCUCCAGAGGAUCCAGCUUUAAAUAUUCCUUAAGAAAAAAGGAUAUUGUGCUUCUCCAAUUACACUGAAAAGCAGCUAUUUUUCAAAAAAUCUCAGCAACUUUCCUUUUAAACGCCACGGUAAAGAUGCUGCUCUGGUGUUGCUGUUCGGUAACACCCAUGUUAAUGGCCUUGAUUAACAAGCCGGUGCCUCUUAGGAGGCUGCAGCCCUGCUGCCCUCUUCUUCUCUUGUGUAUUUUCACCAAUAACGCUUUCUCUGCAAACCAAAUUCUGCUCCUAAGUUCAGUUCUGUAAGAAGAAUUAAAACGAUCUAACAGCUCACUACUGCCAAAAGAAAGAAGUCCAAGUCUGGCCAUGUGCUUCCACCAUGCCUAUGCUGGCUCUGGGCAUCUCCAAACCCUUGAGUCAAUUGAGUUGACUAACCCAACAGAAAACUAACUCUGGAGGAGAAAAAAGGCAAGCUUUUCUGCUGGGUUAGCGAGUAAAUCGGUUAUGGAAAAGGCCAAUGUGUGCUACGGCUUCCCUAAAGGCAAGAGCAGGACUGUACAGCCAAGACCAGGGAGAGGAAGCAGGAACCUCACAGUGCAAGCUCUUGAGUCACCUCUAUGUAGUAAAUGCUUUUGUAAGUGUUGCCAAUGCAACUCCACUGUUUGCAGUUCUACCUUUGUUGUUCUAAAGUACAAGAAAUUCAGCAGCACCUCUGUCCCUCAGCAGAGUGGACUCUGCAGUGCUAAUAGCAGGAAGAAAAAGGUAAAGCCAGUGUUCCUCUCCCAAGGCAGCAACUGCAAAGAAACCAACACCUGAAUGGGGUUUUUUUUUGUUGAAAGUUCGGAUUUUUUUCUGUAAUGACUCCGUAAGUUAGUCUCUGAUCGGGGCAACAGGCUGAUUUCUCUGAGCACAAGUUGCAGGGGAUUAAUCAAACUAAUGCCAAAUUCCUUGAAAAAAGGUUACUGUUGAGAGGGUUUUUAUAUGUAUUUUUUAAAAAAACUCGUUAUUGACUGAAUUUGAAUAGAGUGUUAAAGAGUGAAGAAACAUUAUGGAUCUUUACACAGCAAGCCCUGCAUCUGUGCCACAUCUGUAUCGUCUCCUUUCAUCUGCAGAAGAAAUCGAUAAUGUAGAUAAAUGUGUUUCCUGAGAGCAGUUAAACAACCUGACUUGUACUGGAAGCAUGAAGAAAAGAAGGAACUCUCCAGACAUACCUCCUGUUUCUAAGGAGGCAAUUUUCCCUAACUCUCUCACUGCAACACAAUUUUCCCCACACCUCACCUAAGCGUAGGGCUCUCUCUCGCUUUAUCUCCCCUCUAGCAAUUUUGUUUAAAAUGUCAUCUCCAGAACACAUGAACUGUGCCAAUGUCAAGCCUUUCAGCCAUGCCUAUGGAGACAGAAACCUGUUCACCUACUUAUUCCCUGAGCCUGUCACACAUUCAAGAAGUGAACAACAACCCUGAUUUGCUGCCACACCACUUUGGAAGCUUGUUAGGUUUUUUUUCAGUGGGCUAGAAGACUGGAUUCCCAAGCCACUUUAUAAGUUUGAUUUUAAGAAGCUGAAUAAAAUAGCAUGCUAACAGCCAGUCCUGGCAACAUGAUUUUGCAGUAUGUUAAUUAGGCAACUGCUGGAGGUACCUCUGUCACAGUCUUCCUGGAAAUAUACUUCCAUUCGACUACAAAUUUUUGGUUGUGUACUCUGUGACAUGCAGGAGCUCAGACUGAAUGUUUCUGCUGGCCCAUCCUGGCAUUCUAUAUAAAAGCCCAUUCUCCUUUUUUUCAUUUCAGAUUUCAGCAGCUGUAUAGCAAAGUUUUAAACUCACCAAGAACAUGGGAAGCCUAUAAUGAAAAAUAUCAACCUCGCCUGAAUACAGAGAUGGAUAUCUGAGAAGCUAUCUGGCAGUGUAGAAAACACAGCACAUCUUAAUUGUGACAAAAUAUGUUUCAAGAGACAAAAAGAUAGCUAGCUGGCUCUUCUCCACAGUACUUGAUGCCUGGUAAUGGCUGGCACAGAAUAUACAGAGACCCUUAGAGCAGUGUCACUGCCUGUUACUACCAGCUGCUUGGCUGUGGCUGUGCAUACUGAGAGGGACAUAAAGGAAGGAAACCAGGACAUCCUUCUCCCGUUAGAAGCAUGGGUUAUGUAACAGCGAAAUAUCUAAAUGAUUUUAAAGUAAAGCAGUAGUAAAGAAAUCUUUAUAAAGCACUCAGCACCAGAUACGUAAGCUCUCGAGCUAAUUCCCCUGUUGUGUCAGGAUUGAAGUAGUUCCCAGUAUUUGUAUACGUCUGCACUGGCAAUUUUGCAGAGCCUCAUGCAUGAGACUAUGGAACAAGGAGGCCAAGUUCAGAGCACUGGCUAAACAGCUCCCUCUAGUUCAGCAUUUAAACUAGCAUGGUCAAUUCAAAAGAUUCUGCUCCAAGACUGAGCUCACACUACUUUCCCAUCAAAGGAGUUCAACAUGUGAAGUGCUUGUAGCAUGAUGAGAAGCAACAAUAGUGGAGUCGAUGUUUCCAAGUAUGAGUGAGUGCUAAGGGAGACCUCUGUGUAGGUGACCUAAAUACAUGUAGACUUAUUUUUAGCAAACAGCUAUCCUUCACAAUAUAAAUUUUUUAAAUAUGGGUUGCCUAUAUUUUACAAGGAAAUCAUCAGAAGGUAAGCUUAUCUCUUUAAGUGUGCAUAAAUUCUGCAACUUAACUCUUUAAUAAAGGGACUUUCAUAGAGAUAGAGAGUUCUUCCAUCUCAUAGGAUUAUGCAGUCUCAUUCAGGUGCACUGUCUUGCAAAAGUUGAUAUAAGUUAAAUAUAACUUGGUAUCAAA